rnacentral:sRNA from 1 species
UUUUUUUUUGUGAUUCUUUCUCUAUGGGUGCAGUAUCAUUAUUUUCAUCAUCUGACAAAUUUAUAUACGCUUCUUGAUCUGCAACAUCAUUAUAUUCAUCAUGUUCUUCUACUUUUUCUUCUUUUCCUUCUUCUCUUUCCAUUUCUUCAUCGCCUUGUUUGGGAUUCUCUUUUUUUUUCUGUUUCUUCAACAUUGCAAGUAGAAUGAUGAUCUCUGUAUUCAACCUGUAUAAAUAAUUACAAGUUCCCAAAUACAAGCCAGGACACAGUUAUUAGUCAUGUAAAUCACUUUUAAAAAGCUUUUAAAAUCCGUUGUAAAAUCUUAUCGAACACUGCCUACCCUUUAAAAACGAAUUUCAAUCUUUUAAAACCCCAUUAAGAAGUCUUUAAAAUCCCUUAUAAAUACAUAUCUAACACUGCCUAUCUUUUUAAAACGGUUAAAAAUCUUUAAAACACGAUUUAUAAGCUUUUAAAAUCCCUUGUAAAAACACAUACCUUUUCUUCUUCCUCUUCUUUUCCUUCUUCCUCUUGCUUUUCUUCUUCCCCUUCCAUUUCUUCAUCGCCUUGUUUGGGGAUUUCUUGUUUUUCUGUCCCUUCAUCGCCUCUGUAUUCAACCUGUAUAUAAAAUUACAAGUUUUAUAACUACAAGUUACUCAUGUAAAUCACUUUUUAAAAAGCUUUUAAAAUCCGUUGUAAAUACUUAUCGAACACUGCCUAUCCUUUAAAACGAAUUUAAAUCUUUAAAACCCCCAUUAAGAUGUCUUUAAAAUCCCUUGUAAAAACACAUACCUUUUCUUCUUCCUCUUCUUUUCCUUCUUCCUCUUGCUUUUCUUCUUCCCCUUCCAUUUCUUCAUCGCCUUGUUUGGGGAUUUCUUGUUUUUCUGUCCCUUCGUCGCCUCUGUAUUCAACCUGUAUAUGAAAUUAU